rnacentral:rRNA from 1 species
CCUACGGGGGGCAGCAGUGGGGAAUAUUUCACAAUGGGGGAAACCCUGAUGCAGCGACGCCGCGUGAGUGAAGAAGUAUUUCGGUAUGUAAAGCUCUAUCAGCAGGGAAGAAAACGACGGUACCUGUUUAAGAAGCCCCGGCUAACUACGUGCCAGCAGCCGCGGGAAUACGUAGGGGGCAAGCGUUAUCCGGAUUUACUGGGUGUAAAGGGAGCGUAGUCGGCAGCACAAGUCUGUAGUGAAAUGCCGGGGCUUAACCCCGGAACUGCUUUGAAAACUGUGCAGCUAGAGUGCAGGAGAGGUAAGUGGAAUUCCUAGUGUAGCGGUGAAAUGCGUAGAUAUUAGGAGGAACACCAGUGGCGAAGGCGGCUUACUGGACUGUAACUGACGUUGAGGCUCGAAAGCGUGGGGAGCAAACAGGAGUAGAUACCCGAGUAGUC